CAGCAGCCACGGGAAUACGGAGGGUGCAAGCGUUAAUCGGAAUUACUGGGCGUAAAGCGCACGCAGGCGGUUUGUUAAGUCAGAUGUGAAAUCCCCGAGCUCAACCUGGGAACUGCAUUUGUGACUGGCAAGCUAGAGUGUGGCAGAGGGUGGUGGAAUUCCGCGUGUAGCAGUGAAAUGCGUAGAUAUGCGGAGGAACACCGAUGGCGAAGGCAGCCCCCUGGGCCAACACUGACGCUCAUGCACGAAAGCGUGGGGAGCAAACAGGAUUAGAUACCCCCGUAGUCCCUGUCUCUUAUAC
rnacentral:rRNA from 1 species